rnacentral:rRNA from 1 species
AUGGAGCAGCAGGCGAAGGCAAGCGAGGUCGACGGCACGGCUGCCCACCGUGGCGCGCCACGCGAGUUCCUGGGUGCAGACACGGCGGAGAAGCAACGAGGCGGAGGCGACGACGUCGUUAGCGGUGGGGGCGGCGCAGCGAAGCUGGAGAAGGAGGAAGAAGAGAAGGAGAAGACGGCGGCGGAGGGGUGA